UCUCGUUCUGCUAUAAAACGGCAUCUAAAAUCCAGCUUUUGUGUAUCCCUCGUCCCCUUCAAGAAUUGGAGCUGUCUGAAAAAUGGGUUCUUAUUUCUUCUUUUUUCCUAUGAUAUUGCUGUUGGCAGCAACUUGUUAUGGCCAAGGAUUUCAAAAAUCGAGAGCAAGCUAUUACGGUAGCCCCGAAGGCCUAGGAACUGCAAGUAUGUGGUGCUCUCGUUUUCCCUUUCCCCUCUUCUUUAUGAUAUUUUAUUUUUCUGCACAACUAUUUUACUUUUUUAAUUUAUUUUAUUAUUAUUUUUUGUAAGACUGUGUGUUACCCUUGUGUAAAAUAUGUGUUACACUUUUUGUAACACAAUUUUAUGUCUAUUCCGCUGCAUGUUUUCAUCACUGUGGUGAUUAUCAACGUUGUCGUUGGGGCUGCCUAUUUCCACCACCACCAUUACAACCAUUGACAACAAUCUACAAUGUCACCAUCAAAUUUGCACUUCCAGCCAUCUCACAAUCACCACCCUCGGUCACCACUAGAUCAAUACUAUCUCAACUUGCCACCAGAUUUGUAC
rnacentral:lncRNA from 1 species